rnacentral:miRNA from 1 species
AGGGCUUAGCUCACUUGUGAAC